GGGCCUGUUGCAUAAUGGCAGUGCAUGUGGCUGGCAGUCACAGAGCAGGGGUUCGAUUCCCCUCAGGUCCA
rnacentral:tRNA from 6 species